AGGAUGCUGGUGGUGAAGACGUCGGGACAUCGAUCUGAGAGGAGGAGCAGUCGGAGGUGGAUGUUAUGGAUCUGGAUGAGGAUCCUCAAUUAUGGCCAGAAGAGCUGUAUGAUGAGUAUUACAAAGAGGAACAGGAG